rnacentral:rRNA from 1 species
CCUACGGGUGGCAGCAGUCGAGAAUCAUUCACAAUGGGGGAAACCCUGAUGGUGCGACGCCGCGUGGGGGAAUGAAGGUCUUCGGAUUGUAAACCCCUGUCAUGUGGGAGCAAAUUAAAAAGAUAGUACCACAAGAGGAAGAGACGGCUAACUCUGUGCCAGCAGCCGCGGUAAUACAGAGGUGUCAAGCGUUGUUCGGAAUCACUGGGCGUAAAGCGUGCGUAGGCUGUUUCGUAAGUCGGGUGUGAAAGGUGCGGGCUUAACCCGCGGACGGCACAUGAUACUGCGAGACUAGAGUAAUGGAGGGGGAACCGGAAUGCACGGUGUAGCAGUGAAAUGCGUAGAUAUCGUGAGGAACACUCGUGGCGAAGGCGGGUUCCUGGACAUUAACUGACGCUGAGGCACGAAGGCCAGGGGAGCGAAAGGGAUUAGAUACCCCAGUAGUC